rnacentral:rRNA from 1 species
GAUGAACGCUGGCGGCGUGCUUAACACAUGCAAGUCGAACGAAGCACUUUAUUUGAUUUCCUUCGGGACUGAUUAUUUUGUGACUGAGUGGCGGACGGGUGAGUAACGCGUGGGUAACCUGCCUUGUACAGGGGGAUAACAGUUGGAAACGGCUGCUAAUACCGCAUAAGCGCACGGCAUCGCAUGAUGCAGUGUGAAAAACUCCGGUGGUAUAAGAUGGACCCGCGUUGGAUUAGCUAGUUGGUGAGGUAACGGCCCACCAAGGCGACGAUCCAUAGCCGACCUGAGAGGGUGACCGGCCACAUUGGGACUGAGACACGGCCCAAACUCCUACGGGAGGCAGCAGUGGGGAAUAUUGCACAAUGGGCGAAAGCCUGAUGCAGCGACGCCGCGUGAGCGAAGAAGUAUUUCGGUAUGUAAAGCUCUAUCAGCAGGGAAGAUAAUGACGGUACCGGACUAAGAAGCACCGGCUAAAUACGG